UACGAAGGGGGCUAGCGUUGUUCGGAAUUACUGGGCGUAAAGCGCGCGCAGGCGGUCUUCCAAGUCAGUGGUGAAAGCCCGGAGCUCAACUCCGGAACUGCCAUUGAAACUGUUGGACUUGAGUACGAGAGAGGUGAGUGGAAUUCCCAGUGUAGAGGUGAAAUUCGUAGAUAUUCGGAGGAACACCAGUGGCGAAGGCGGCUCACUGGCUCGAUACUGACGCUGAGGUGCGAAAGCGUGGGGAGCAAACAGG
rnacentral:rRNA from 1 species